rnacentral:rRNA from 1 species
GACGAACGCUGGCGGCGUGCCUAACACAUGCAAGUCGAGCGAUGAAGCCCUUCGGGGUGGAUUAGCGGCGGACGGGUGAGUAACACGUGGGUAACCUGCCUCAAAGAGGGGGAUAGCCUCCCGAAAGGGAGAUUAAUACCGCAUAAUAUCAUGUUUUCGCAUGAUGAUAUGAUUAAAGGAGCAAUCCGCUUUGAGAUGGACCCGCGGCGCAUUAGCUAGUUGGUGAGGUAACGGCUCACCAAGGCCACGAUGCGUAGCCGACCUGAGAGGGUGAUGGGCCACAUUGGAACUGGGACACGGUCCAGACUCCUACGGGAGGCAGCAGUGGGGAAUAUUGCACAAUGGGCGAAAGCCUGAUGCAGCAACGCCGCGUGAGUGAUGACGGCCUUCGGGUUGUAAAACUCUGUCUUUGGGGACGAUAAUGACGGUACCCAAGGAGGAAGCCACGGCUAACUACGUGCCAGCCGCCGCGGUAA